rnacentral:rRNA from 1 species
UACGUAGGGUGCAAGCGUUGUCCGGAAUUACUGGGCGUAAAGAGCUCGUAGGUGGUUUGUCGCGUUGUCCGUGAAAACUCACAACUCAAUUGUGGGCGUGCGGGCGAUACGGGCAGACUGGAGUACUGCAGGGGAGACUGGAAUUCCUGGUGUAGCGGUGAAAUGCGCAGAUAUCGGGAAGAACACCCGUGGCGAAGGCGGUUCUCUGGGACGGUACUGACGCUGAGACGCGAAAGCGUGGGGAGCGAACAGG